GACAGAGGGUGCAAACGUUGUUCGGAUUUACUGGGCGUAAAGCGCGUGUAGGCGGCCUUGCAAGUCGGAUGUGAAAGCCCACGGCUCAACCGUGGAAGUGCAUCCGAAACUGCAUAGCUUGAGUCUCGGGGAGGAAGGUGGAAUGCUUGGUGUAGAGGUGAAAUUCGUAGAUAUCAAGCAGAACACCUGCGGCGAAGGCGGCCUUCUGGACGAUGACUGACGCUGAGACGCGAAAGCGUGGGGAGCAAACAGG
rnacentral:rRNA from 1 species